GGCAGUGGUAGCUCAGUGGUUAAGACGUUGGACUACUGAUCAAAGGGUCAUGAGUUCAAAUCACAGCACUGCCA